rnacentral:rRNA from 1 species
CAAUAGCGUAUAUUUAAGUUGCUGCAGUUAAAAAGCUCGUAGUUGGAUUUCGGGUGGGAAUGGCCGGUCCGCCGUUUCGGUGUGCACUUGCUACGCCCACCUUGCUGCGGGGGACGUGCUCUUGAGUUCACGCUCGGGACACGGAGUCGGCGAGGUUACUUUGAGUAAAUUAGAGUGUUCAAAGCAGGCCUACGCUCUGAAUACAUUAGCAUGGAAUAACACGAUAGGACUCUGGCCUAUCUUGUUGGUCUGUAGGACCGGAGUAAUGAUUAAGAGGGACAGUCGGGGGCAUUCGUAUUUCAUUGUCAGAGGUGAAAUUCUUGGAUUUAUGAAAGACGAACUACUGCGAAAGCAUUUGCCAAGGAUGUUUUCAUUAA